GGAAGAAAUCAAUAAAGAGUUUGAAGAGAAGAAGCCUGAGCUCCAACCUAAAGUGGUCGAAAUCUAUGAAGCUUCUUCAGCUGAAAUCAAGGUCUCUACAUGAAUGAACAUACCAAAUCUGUUAUAGCUACAAAUGUCAGAGAGAAUUAAAAAGAUCCAAUUCAUGCAAGUUUUUAUUUAUUAAUUUAACCUUUUUUUUUUUUUUUGGCUUUGGCUUUGGCGUUUAAAUGAAAAUACAGACCCUGGUCAAGGAUCGCAAGGAGGAUGGACUUAAGAAGCACUCCACUGCUGUGCACAAGUUACUUGAAGAACUCGUUAAAAUCGGUAAAAUAGUUCUAUCACAUAUGGUAUUAUUAAUUAAAGUUAAGGUCAUGUGUUAAAAUCACAUGAGAAUUUUAUUAACAUAUAUGUAUGUGUGUAUAUACAGAGUUUCCAGGAUCAAAAGCAGUAAGUGAAGCAUCGUCAAAGUUUGGGGCAGCCUCUGUUCCGGGGCCAGUUUUCUUCAUAUUUGAGAAGGUCUCAACGUUUAUUGUUACUGAAGAAAAAGCAGCAGAGCCAGCAACCGCGGCAGCAGGAGAAGAAACAAAACCAGAACAAGAGACAACAAGUAGUAGUACCGCCGCAGUCACAGAGAAGGACGACGUAGUUGUUGAGGAAGAGAAGAAAGAAGAGGCCCCCGCCGGCCCUGAGAAAACUGAGCCGGCAGAAGCCGCCGCCGCCCCAGCCCCAACUGAGCCUCUUCCUGCCGCCGCCAAGGAGGACCAACCAGCUGCUGCAGAGCCACCAAAGCCUUGAGAACAUGCAUCAACUGACAAGACAAAUUCAUAUCCAUAUAUACAUAGAUAUAUAUUUCAUAUUCAUCAAGUGAAAGUGAAGUAAUAAUGUUAAUAUUUUGUGUACGUAAAAGUCUUGUAAAAUGCAAAACAUGAUUU
rnacentral:lncRNA from 1 species